GACUCCCCAGCCACAGCCCUUCAGCUUAUCUCUGUGCUGCAGACAACACACCUUGCCGAUGGAGGGGCCCGGUGAGUUUCCAGGCUGCUCGAAAAGUCUGGAGGCUUGGAGAUCAGCUUUGAUGUCUACCAGGCUGACGCUGUGGCCACGUUCCGAAAGAAUAACCC